rnacentral:rRNA from 1 species
AUGAGGAUAUCCGACACCUCUUGUGAGGGUGUUUUGCUGCCAAAUAUUGCUUGGGGGGUAGUAUGUAAGAGCUUAGGCUCUAUAUCCAGGCCUACAUGUUUUAUACAAUAUUUUUGGUGGAUCUCAUAUUUUGUUGCACAAAGCAGAAUUAUUCAUAUAAUGGGGUUGGCGGCUCUAUGUUGGGAUAUUCAGAAGCUCAGGAAUAGAGCAUGCUUUGAUAACAAACUUGUGAAAUCUCCGGCUAAAUUUGUAUGUUAUGCUUCUUAUUUCCUAUGAUAUUGGGCAGGGUUGCAAAAUGACGAGGACAAGAAGAUUGUGGAACAAGGAGUUAAUCUAUUGCAGUAUGUGGCGACGGAGAUGCAUGUUGGUGUGCUUGCGUGGAGGAAUGACGAAGCCCUGCUACUAGGAGCAGACGUGGAGACACAAGUUGGGGAAAACAACAAGGGAUACUAA